rnacentral:piRNA from 1 species
AGCAUGGUAUCGAUUUUAGUAAACU